AGAGUUUGAUCCUGGCUCAGAACGAACGCUGGCGGCGUGGAUAAGACAUGCAAGUCGAACGAGAUUUUCCGUGGUAGCAAUACCGUGGAAAGUCUAGUGGCGAACGGGUGCGUAACACGUGGGCAAUCUGCCUUAAAGUGGGGGAUAGCUCGGCGAAAGCCGAAUUAAUACCGCAUGUGAUCAGGGGAGACAUCUUCCCGAAAUCAAAAGUGGCGCAAGCUACUGCUUUUUGAGGAGCCCGCGGCCUAUCAGCUAGUUGGUGAGGUAACGGCUCACCAAGGCUUUGACGGGUAGCUGGUCUGAGAGGACGACCAGUCACACUGGAACUGAGACACGGUCCAGACACCUACGGGUGGCAGCAGUCGAGAAUUUUUCUCAAUGGGGGAAACCCUGAAGGAGCGACGCCGCGUGGAGGAUGAAGGUCUUCGGGUUGUAAACUCCUGUCAUUUGGGAACAAGUGCCGGUACGUAACUGCUACCGGCUUGAUAGUACCAGAAGAGGAAGGGACGGCUAACUCUGUGCCAGCAGCCGCGGUAAUACAGAGGUCUCAAGCGUUGUUCGGAUUCAUUGGGCGUAAAGGGUGUGUAGGUGGCGCCGUAAGUCGGGUGUGAAAUUUCGGAGCUUAACUCCGAAACUGCAUUCGAUACUGCGGUGCUUGAGGACUGGAGAGGAGACUGGAAUUCAUGGUGUAGCAGUGAAAUGCGUAGAGAUCAUGAGGAAGACCAGUGGCGAAGGCGGGUCUCUGGACAGUUCCUGACACUGAGACACGAAGGCCAGGGGAGCAAACGGGAUUAGAUACCCUAGUAGUCC
rnacentral:rRNA from 1 species